GACAGAGGUGCUGAGCGUUAGGCGGAAUCACUGGGCUUAAAGCGUGUGUAGGCGGGUCGUUAAGUGUCUUGUGAAAUCCCACCGCUCAACGGUGGAACGGCUGGGCAUACUGGCGGACCUUGAGAGACCCGAGGGGCGGAGCGGAACAAGCGGUGGAGCGGUGAAAUGCGUAGAUAUCGACUUGGAACGCCGACGGGUGAAAACAGCUCGCUGGGGGUCAUCUGACGGCUGAGACACGAAAGCCAGGGGAGCGAACGGG
rnacentral:rRNA from 1 species